AUUAUGAGUGUGACAGGCUGUGCUCAGGGAACCAUAGCGCUCCAGAGCUGUUUGGGAGAUUUUCUCCUGGCUGGGAAAUACUUUUUGAAAGUCACUUUCUCCACUAGAAGAUAUAUCAGGGUGCUUUACACAUCCUCUGACCCAUUAAAAUCAAUCUGAUUCAUUUUCCAUUACAAAAGGUAUGAAGUGGAAGAAACUGCUGAAAAGGUGAAUGAGAGCAAAGAAAGAUGUAUAAAAGAGUUUAUCAUCAUAAAAGGGUAUAACCGUUUCUACAUUUCUACAGAGAUUUCUCCUUCCAGACUUCAGCUACUGAGGAAUAAAUGACGAUGUGCUGUGACCUUUUAUACUAGCAUUUCACAGUCCCAUGUGAAUUGCAAUUACAUUUUCUCUUUUUGGCAUAUGUGGCCCCUCAGGGCUUUACACAGCUGAUGAUCUGUGGCAGGUCUCUCCUGAGUAUCAGAAACAAGACUGCCCAGAUGAACAACAGCUGCACGUUCAAGUGCAGAAUUAUUUCUCAUGCAAAAAGGUAUAAGAAUUCUUCCUGGAAAAGUGAAAAAAAAAUCUAAAGAUGAGUAAGAUAUUAGUUACUCAAAUACUUUUUUUUCAAUUGAAAACCCGUUCUACUCCUACUUUAACAGUAUACAGUCAUAACCCAUACUUAUUAAACCUCUGUGGAAACUAGUAGUUAGUCAUUCAGUGAUCUGAGAAAAAAACAUGGAGACCAGCAUAUAUGAUGAAAGGUGUUGGGAUUUAUGUGUUCCUCUUGCUAAGAAAAAUAUUUGAAGUGAGUGGACUUCUAAAAUUAAAAUAAAUGUGUCUGAGAGGACAUAGACGCCCAAAUCUGGAGAUGAGAUAUACUGAGCUACCCUGAGAAUAUUCAUUAUUUAUAUUCACUUUUGAACAUGUUUGUUCAUAAACCUUCCAGUCAGUUUAGUAACAAAACCUGAAUAAGCAUCUUGGUAUUGUGAUUUUUCAUUUGAUUCCUGUUUUGUGGAUUCAGCAGUACUAGGAUGUGCAAAAAAGCAAGGAGUGUGUUCUAAGUGCCGUAGGAGUUCAGUGAGAUUCAAAAACCUCACAAAAGAGGAGCUUUAAGAAAGAUAACCAUUAACACUCUAAGAAAAUAAUACAGUGCUUCACUACGAAUUUUGCAUGAGAAAAAAAUAUCCUCUCCCAGUGCCCCAUUUAUAUUUAUGUGUGGGUAAACCGUUUUGCCAUGCCAUUGUUAAACUUGCAAUUGCAUUGUUGUCUGUGCUUUUUGAUCUUUUGUUAUCAGACCAAACAAGUUCUCAGUGUAUUAUAAAGCACAUUUCUAAAACGUGUUCAUCAAGUUUGUAUCCUUCUAGCUGAAGGAAAGUAAGAAGAUGCGUACAAAAUAAGGUAUUAUCUUUCUAAAGAAUAAUUACUUUUGCAUUUGUUUGAUUCAUUUGCCAUGUCUUUGUGCUCAAUGUGACUUGUUUGUAAACAAAUAUUUUGGUAGACCAAGACUGGAGAUCACUGCAAUAUUUUAAGAAACAGGGAGACAUUCAUGCCUACUUUAUAGAGCUUUUUUGAAACUUAUACUACAUGGUAGAUCUGCAAGUGUGGAACAGCAGAAGUCUAGAAUCAGUACAAAAAUUAAGUGAAAAAUAUUUGCUGGAAAAGCAAAUUGCUUUUAGAAAUACCAUUUGACAUUGUUUUUGACCAUCAAUUUUUAAAAACAUGGCUCUGUUAGACUAUCUUCAACACUUAUCUAGUCUUCAGUGUCAUCCUUUUGCAGACAAAAAUAUGUAUGCAAGGAGUGCUUAUUUGUUCCUUAGACAUUGGAAGAAAUAUAGCCUUUGAAGAAGCCUUUGAUAAAACAAUCUUAUAAAUUAAAACAACAACAACAACAAAAACAAAUCCAUAAGAAGUCUGUGUCCUGAAAAUCCUCAGAAAACCCAUCUGCUUUGCUUUCCUCACUAUAUUCUAUAGUAUUGGAAAAUUCCUUAAUUUUUAGUAUUUUUAUUUUAUUUUACUUGAUUCACUUGAUUAAAAAUUAAUCACAAUUAAAAAACAUUGUCCAGAAUCUGUGUUUUGGAUGGUGAUAGAAUCUUCAUUUUCAUGCAGUUUUUUAGAUUGCAUAGCAUGCAAAUACAAUGGUCUGAAAAAAGAAACUUAGAGCAUGCAUGUUACAUGAUUCAUAAAAUACUGUUGGAGAGCAUAUGAAUAUUUUUGGCGAAAGCUACAAGAAUACUCUGAUCAGGCUAAAUUCUGUAAUAUGAUGACUAAAAUGAUGGAUCCACCAUGUAUAUGGUAAAUGGGAAAUUACAUAGAACUGCCAUAUUAUUGGAUCUAUUUAACAGCUUAUGAAAAACUCAGUGCCUACAAAAAAGCAGAACAUGAUAUAAGAGCAGAGAUAAAGCAAUUCAGUGAAAACUGGCAUGAAAUUAGAGGAAAAAUCAAUCUUUGAUAAUGACAAUCUUUUACCUAAAUGUGAACUUCCGGCAGGCUAGGGAGGCCUGUUUAUGAAAAAAUGAGCAAUCCCAGAAGAAAAAUAAAUUAAAUUACAGGAGGCCACUUCUUACCAGUUUGAACUAGUUCUUUAUUUUCUGCUGAAGUGAUCAAUUUUCUUUUACUCAAGUUAUCAAAUUAUCUCCUCAGAGAUUUUCAAUUUCUUUGCAGCUGGUGGGUGCUUGGAUAAAACAGAGGAUAGAAUUCAGCUCACAUUUUUUGAAGGGCUUUGGUAUCUUUCAGGAUAAAGAAUUCAAUGUAAAUGUAAGAUUAUUAUGUAGAAGAAGUGCUGUGAACUCAGAAAGCAAUUAAAAAAGACAAUGUAGAAAUUAUUAUCAGGUUCAUGAACAGAAUAAUGAAGGGUAAUGCAUCUUUUACAGGAAUUGCAAAAUGCAAAUGAGUAACAAUGCUUAUUUAUAAACUAUUAUCAGUGUUGGCUGUGAUGUGUUUGCAGAUACAGCAUAUUUUAAAAUGAAAGACAAAACUGCUGGAGCAUCUAAAAGAAAAUUAAUAGAAUCUACUAAAUCCUGAAUUCCAAGGUUAUCAUUGGGAAUCUGUAUGGUAAUGACAGUCAAGGAAAUAAACAAUAUCUGGUUAUGCAAAAGCUUUUGGUUGGCUUAAAUAUUAACAUGAUGUAUUUCUUAUAUAAGAUUGUAUAAA